ACCUAUGGACCAGUUGACAUACACUAAAAUAGGAAUGAUACGGAAAUUUUCAUGGCCCCUGUACAGGGAUGACAUGCAAAUUCAUGAAGGCUUUUGUGUGUGU
rnacentral:snRNA from 1 species